AGGUGUCUCGGCUAAAGUGUCUUGGCUAAGGUGUCUUAGCUAAUGUGUAUCGGCUAAUGUGUCUUGGCUAAGGUGUCUUGGCUAAUGUGUCUUGGCUAAGGUGUCUUGGCUAAGGUGUCUUGGCUAAGGUGUUUUGGCUAAUGUGUCUUGGCUAAGGUGUCUUGGCUAAUGUGUCUUGGCUAAUGUGUCUUGGCUAAUGUGUCUUGGCUAAUGUGUCUUGGCUAAGGUGUCUUGGCUAAUGUGUCUUGGCUAAGGUGUCUUGGCUAAUGUGUCUUGGCUAAGGUGUCUUGGCUAAUGUGUCUUGGCUAAUGUGUCUUGGCUAAGGUGUCUUGGCUAAGGUGUCUUGGCUAAGGUGUCUUGGCUAAUGUGUCUUGGCUAAUGUGUCUUGGCUAAUGUGUC